ensembl:processed_transcript
UGUGAUGUGGACACGACGCGCAACCGGUGCACACGCACUCAUUCACGAGCAUGACGAGACUUCACGCGGCAGUGAUCACUCAAGAUAAUGCCAGCCGCAAAAGAGGUUAUUAAAAAGACAAUUAACUGAGCAAAGGGCAUCUAACUGAGAUUAUAAUAGAGCAUUGAAAACAUGAUGUUGAAGAAGAUGAUUGUAUGACUAACAUCAAACAGCUGAGUUGGCUUGCCAGACACACUCCCUGAAUAAGUGUUUGCUGCAUCAGCACAGGUUUUCCCUUGAAGCUCCAAAGCCAAUGAAAGAGGAAUCGCUCCAUUAAAUGAACAAAUGUGAAUGGACCAGUAAAUCCCCAGGGAAAUGGAUGAUGAAUCGGACAGAAAGGGAAAGGUUCGCCCACACAUGAAG